rnacentral:rRNA from 1 species
AUGGAAAGUUGUUUGCCGUUUGGGGGAAAGGUUGUCGUAUUUGGUGGUGAUUUCAGGCAGGUCCUUCCUGUUGUGACACGUGGGACAAGAUCACAGUCUGAUCCUUGGUUCCCCAAAUACCUCCUAAGGACCUGCAAUGGAACGGAAGAGACAAUUGGAGAUGACUAUGUUCGUCUCCCUGAUGAUAUUGUGAUCGGCUAUACCGAGCAUGAAAAAGCUAUUAACACGCUCAUCAAAGAGGUCUUCCCAUUGUUGCAUGCCAAUGCUAGAUUGAGAGAAUACAUGAGCGUAUGUGCUAUUCUUUCGACCAAGAACGAUCAUGUCGAUGACCUGAAUGACAAGAUGAUCUCCAGGUUUCCAGGCGAAGAAAAGUUAUACCAUAACUGCCCGGUCAUUCUGCUCCAGAACCUCGACUCUCAUAAUGGCCUAUGCAAUGGGACACGGCUUAUGAUUAGAGCUUUCCAGGAUAAUGCAAUCGACGCUAAGAUUGUUGGUGGUCAGCAUGCUGGGAAGAGGGUGUUCAUACCUAGGAUCCCUAUGUGA